UACGUAGGGGGCAAGCGUUGUCCGGAAUCAUUGGGCGUAAAGCGCGUGUAGGCGGCCCGGUAAGUCCGCUGUGAAAGUCCAGGGCUCAACCCUGGGAUGCCGGUGGAUACUGUCGGGCUCGAGUCCGGAAGAGGCGAGUGGAAUUCCUGGUGUAGCGGUGAAAUGCGCAGAUAUCAGGAGGAACACCAAUGGCGAAGGCAGCUCGCUGGGACGUGACUGACGCUGAGACGCGAAAGUGUGGGGAGCAAACAGG
rnacentral:rRNA from 1 species